rnacentral:rRNA from 1 species
UCGGCUUAGAGUUUGAUCAUGGCUCAGAUUGAACGCUGGCGGCAGGCCUAACACAUGCAAGUCGAGCGGUAGGGAAGCUUGCUUCUCACGAGCGGCGGACGGGUGAGUAAUGUAUGGGGAUCUGCCCGAUAGAGGGGGAUAACUACUGGAAACGGUAGCUAAUACCGCAUAAUCUCUAAGGAGCAAAGCAGUUCGUUGCGCUAUCGGAUGAACCCAUAUGGGAUUAGCUAGUUGGUGAGGUAAUGGCUCACCAAGGCGACGAUCCCUAGCUGGUCUGAGAGGAUGAUCAGCCACACUGGGACUGAGACACGGCCCAGACUCCUACGGGAGGCAGCAGUGGGGAAUAUUGCACAAUGGGCGCAAGCCUGAUGCAGCCAUGCCGCGUGUAUGAAGAAGGCC